UAAGGGCGCACGGUGGAUGCCUUGGCACUAGAAGCCGAUGAAGGACGUUACUAACGACGAUAUGCUUUGGGGAGCUGUAAGUAAGCUUUGAUCCAGAGAUUUCCGAAUGGGGAAACCCAGCAUGAGUUAUGUCAUGUUAUCGAUAUGUGAAUACAUAGCAUAUCAGAAGGCACACCCGGAGAACUGAAACAUCUUAGUACCCGGAGGAAGAGAAAGAAAAUUCGAUUCCCUUAGUAGCGGCGAGCGAAACGGGAAGAGCCCAAACCAACAAGCUUGCUUGUUGGGGUUGUAGGACACUCUAUACGGAGUUACAAAGGACGACAUUAGACGAAUCAUCUGGAAAGAUGAAUCAAAGAAGGUAAUAAUCCUGUAGUCGAAAAUGUUGUCUCUCUUGAGUGGAUCCUGAGUACGACGGAGCACGUGAAAUUCCGUCGGAAUCUGGGAGGACCAUCUCCUAAGGCUAAAUACUCUCUAGUGACCGAUAGUGAACCAGUACCGUGAGGGAAAGGUGAAAAGCACCCCGGAAGGGGAGUGAAAUAGAACCUGAAACCGUGUGCUUACAAGUAGUCAGAGCCCGUUAAUGGGUGAUGGCGUGCCUUUUGUAGAAUGAACCGGCGAGUUACGAUUUGAUGCAAGGUUAAGCAGUAAAUGUGGAGCCGUAGCGAAAGCGAGUCUGAAUAGGGCGUUUAGUAUUUGGUCGUAGACCCGAAACCAGGUGAUCUACCCUUGGUCAGGUUGAAGUUCAGGUAACACUGAAUGGAGGACCGAACCGACUUACGUUGAAAAGUGAGCGGAUGAACUGAGGGUAGCGGAGAAAUUCCAAUCGAACCUGGAGAUAGCUGGUUCUCUCCGAAAUAGCUUUAGGGCUAGCCUCAAGUGAUGAUUAUUGGAGGUAGAGCACUGUUUGGACGAGGGGCCCCUCUCGGGUUACCGAAUUCAGACAAACUCCGAAUGCCAAUUAAUUUAACUUGGGAGUCAGAACAUGGGUGAUAAGGUCCGUGUUCGAAAGGGAAACAGCCCAGACCACCAGCUAAGGUCCCAAAAUAUAUGUUAAGUGGAAAAGGAUGUGGCGUUGCCCAGACAACUAGGAUGUUGGCUUAGAAGCAGCCAUCAUUUAAAGAGUGCGUAAUAGCUCACUAGUCGAGUGACACUGCGCCGAAAAUGUACCGGGGCUAAACAUAUUACCGAAGCUGUGGAUUGUCCUUU
rnacentral:rRNA from 1 species